AUUGAACGCUGGCGGCAGGCCUAACACAUGCAAGUCGAGCGGAUGAAGGGAGCUUGCUCCUGGAUUCAGCGGCGGACGGGUGAGUAAUGCCUAGGAAUCUGCCUGGUAGUGGGGGAUAACGUCCGGAAACGGGCGCUAAUACCGCAUACGUCCUGAGGGAGAAAGUGGGGGAUCUUCGGACCUCACGCUAUCAGAUGAGCCUAGGUCGGAUUAGCUAGUUGGUGGGGUAAAGGCCUACCAAGGCGACGAUCCGUAACUGGUCUGAGAGGAUGAUCAGUCACAUUGAACCUGGGCACCGGUCCAGCUCCCUACGGGAGGCAGCAGUGGGAAAUAUUGGACAAUGGGCGAAAGCCUGAUCCAGCCAUGCCGCGUGUGUGAAGAAGGUCUUCGGUUUGUAAAGCACUUUAUGUUGGGAGGAAGGGAAGUAAGUUAAUACCUUGCUGUUUUGCCGUUACCAACAGAAUAAGCACCGGCUAACUUCGU
rnacentral:rRNA from 1 species